AGAGUUUGAUCCUGGCUCAGGAUGAACGCUAGCGGCAGGCUUAACACAUGCAAGUCGAGGGGCAGCGGGGCCCAGCAAUGGGCUGCCGGCGACCGGCGCACGGGUGCGUAACGCGUAUGCAACCUGCCCGCGACAGGGGGAUAACCGGUGGAAACGCCGACUAAUACCCCGUAAUGCACUAGGUCGCAUGGCUUGGUGCUGAAAGCUUCGGUGGUCGCGGAUGGGCAUGCGUGGCAUUAGGUAGUUGGCGGGGCAACGGCCCACCAAGCCUACGAUGCCUAGGGGAGCUGAGAGGCUAAUCCCCCACACUGGUACUGAGACACGGACCAGACUCCUACGGGAGGCAGCAGUGAGGAAUAUUGGUCAAUGGGCGGAAGCCUGAACCAGCCAUGCCGCGUGUGGGAAGAAGGCCCUAUGGGUUGUAAACCACUUUUAGCCGGGAGUAAUAAGGGAGUACCGGCGGAAUAAGCAUCGGCUAACUCCGUGCCAGCAGCCGCGGUAAUACGGAGGAUGCAAGCGUUAUCCGGAUUUAUUGGGUUUAAAGGGUGCGUAGGCGGACCGUUAAGUCAGCGGUGAAAGGUCCCGGCUCAACCGGGGAGCUGCCGUUGAUACUGGCGGACUUGAGUCCAAACGGCGCCGGCGGAAUAUGUAAUGUAGCGGUGAAAUGCAUAGAUAUUACAUAGAACACCGAUCGCGAAGGCAGCUGGCGAGGAUGGCACUGACGCUGAGGCACGAAGGCGUGGGGAUCGAACAGGAUUAGAUACCCUGGUAGUCCACGCAGUAAACGAUGGCGACUUGUUGUCGGCGACAGACGGCCGGUGACAAAGCGAAAGCGAUAAGUCGCCCACCUGGGGAGUACGAUCGCAAGGUUGAAACUCAAAGGAAUUGACGGGGGCCCGCACAAGCGGAGGAGCAUGUGGUUUAAUUCGAUGAUACGCG
rnacentral:rRNA from 1 species